GGAUUAGAUACCCUGGUAGUCCACGCCCUAAACGUUGAUUACUCGUUGUUGGCGAUAUACAGUCAGCGACCAAGCUAAAGCGUUAAGUAAUCCACCUGGGAAGUACGACCGCAAGGUUGAAACUCAAAGGAAUUGACGGGGGCCCGCACAAGUGGAGGAGCAUGUGGUUUAAUUCGAUGAUACGCGAGGAACCUUACCUGGGCUUGAAAGUUAGUGACGUUCUGUGAAAGCAGAAUUCCCUUCGGGGCACAAAACUAGGUGCUGCAUGGCUGUCGUCAGCUCGUGCCG
rnacentral:rRNA from 1 species